rnacentral:rRNA from 1 species
UUUUUAGCGGCGGACGGGUGAGUAACGUGUGGGCAACCUGCCGUUUUACUGGGGAAUAAUCACUGGAAACGGUGACUAAUACCGCAUAAUAUUCUUGGAAGGCAUCUUCCGAGAAGGAAAGGAAAUAUUCGGUAAAAGAUGGGCCCGCAUCUGAUUAGCUAGUUGGUGAGAUAACAGCCCACCAAGGCGACGAUCAGUAGCCGACCUGAGAGGGUGACCGGCCACAUUGGGACUGAGACACGGCCCAAACUCCUACGGAAGGCAGCAG